GACGUAGGGGGCAAGCGUUGUUCGGAUUCACUGGGCGUAAAGGGUGCGUAGGUGGUGAGGUAAGUCGGAUGUGAAAUCUCCGAGCUCAACUCGGAAAUGGCAUUGGAAACUACCUUGCUCGAGGGUUGGAGGGGGGACUGGAAUGCUUGGUGUAGCAGUGAAAUGCGUAGAUAUCAAGCGGAACACCAGUGGCGAAGGCGAGUCCCUGGACAACUCCUGACACUGAGGCACGAAAGCUAGGGGAGCAAACAGG
rnacentral:rRNA from 1 species